UUCGCAAUGCCCGAAAGGGUGACGAAGCGACGCCGCGUGUGGGAAGAAGGCCUUCGGGUUGUAAACCACUGUCGGGAGUUAAGAAAUGCAAGGAUAUGAAUAGUGUCUUUGCUUGACUAAGGCUCCGGAGGAAGCCACGGCUAACUCUGUGCCAGCAGCCGCGGUAAUACAGAGGCGGCAAGCGUUGUUCGGAAUUAUUGGGCGUAAAGAGCACGUAGGCGGCUAUGUAAGUCGGUUGUGAAAGCCUUCCGCUCAACGGAAGAACAGCAUCCGAUACUACAUGGCUUGAGUGCGGGAGGGGAGAGUGGAACCUCUGGUGGAGCGGUGAAAUGCGUAGAUAUCAGAAGGAACGCCGGCGGCGAAAGCGGCUCUCUGGCCCAUAACUGACGCUGAGUGUGCGAAAGCUAGGGGAGCAAACGGGAUUAGAUACCCCGGUAGUCCUAGCCGUAAACGAUGGGCACUAAGUAGAGGGGUUUU
rnacentral:rRNA from 1 species